GACGAACCGUACGAACGUUAUUCGGAAUCACUGGGCUUAAAGGGUGCGUAGGCGGCGCGACAAGUUGGGUGUGAAAUCCCUCGGCUCAACCGAGGAACUGCGCCCAAAACUGUCGUGCUCGAGGGAGACAGAGGUGAGCGGAACUUAGGGUGGAGCGGUGAAAUGCGUUGAUAUCCUAAGGAACACCGGUGGCGAAAGCGGCUCACUGGGUCUCUGCUGACGCUGAGGCACGAAAGCGUGGGGAGCAAACAGG
rnacentral:rRNA from 1 species